rnacentral:tRNA from 681 species
GGGGCUAUAGCUCAGCUGGGAGAGCGCCUGCCUUGCACGCAGGAGGUCAGCGGUUCGAUCCCGCUUAGCUCCACCA